GACGAACGCUGGCGGCGUGCUUAACACAUGCAAGCCGAACGGAAAGGCCCUGCUUUUGUGGGGUGCUCGAGUGGCGAACGGGUGAGUAACACGUGAGUAACCUGCCCUUGACUUUGGGAUAACUUCAGGAAACUGGGGCUAAUACCGGAUAGGAGCUCCUGCUGCAUGGUGGGGGUUGGAAAGUUUCGGCGGUUGGGGAUGGACUCGCGGCUUAUCAGCUUGUUGGUGGGGUAGUGGCUUACCAAGGCUUUGACGGGUAGCCGGCCUGAGAGGGUGACCGGCCACAUUGGGACUGAGAUAGGGACCAGACUCCUACGGGAGGCAGCAGUGGGGAAUAUUGCACAGUGGGCGGAAGCCUGAUGCAGCAACGCCGCGUGCGGGAUGACGGGCUUCGGGUUGUAAACCGAUUUCGCCUGUGACGAAGCGUGAGUGACGGUAAUGGGUAAAGAAGCACCGGCUAACUACGUG
rnacentral:rRNA from 1 species